CCUACGGGAGGCAGCAGUGAGGAAUAUUGGUCAAUGGGCGGGAGCCUGAACCAGCCAAGUCGCGUGAGGGAAGACGGUCCUAUGGAUUGUAAACCUCUUUAGCCGGGGAGCAAUGGCUGCCACGUGUGCCCGCACUGAGAGUACCCGCAGAAUAAGCAUCGGCUAACUCCGUGCCAGCAGCCGCGGUAAUACGGAGGAUGCGAGCGUUAUCCGGAUUUAUUGGGUUUAAAGGGUGCGUAGGCGGAGUUUUAAGUCAGCGGUAAAAUUUCGGGGCUCAACCCCGGCCCGCCGUUGAAACUGGGGAUCUUGAGUGGGAGAGAAGUAUGCGGAAUGCGUGGUGUAGGGGUGAAAUGCAUAGAUAUCACGCAGAACCCCGAUUGCGAAGGCAGCAUACCGGCGCCCGACUGACGCUGAGGCACGAAAGCGUGGGGAUCGAACAGGAUUAGAUACCCGGGUAGUC
rnacentral:rRNA from 1 species